AACGAACGCUGGCGGCAUGCCUAACACAUGCAAGUCGAACGAGACCUUCGGGUCUAGUGGCGCACGGGUGCGUAACGCGUGGGAACCUGCCCUUAGGUUCGGAAUAACUCCCCGAAAGGGGUGCUAAUACCGGAUAAUGUCUUCGGCCCAAAGAUUUAUCGCCUUUGGAUGGGCCCGCGUUGGAUUAGCUAGUUGGUAGGGUAAAAGCCUACCAAGGCGACGAUCCAUAGCUGGUCUGAGAGGAUGAUCAGCCACACUGAGACUGAGCCGCGGCCCAGACUCCUACGGGAGGCAGCAGUGGGGAAUAUUGGACAAUGGGCGAAAGCCUGAUCCAGCACUGCCGCGUGAGUGAUGAAGGCCUUAGGGUUGUAAAGCUCUUUUACCCGGGAUGAUAAUGACAGUACCGGGAGAAUAAGCUCCGGCUAACUCCGUG
rnacentral:rRNA from 1 species